GAUUGUAGUCAUAUGCUUGUCUCAAAGAUUAAGCCAUGCAUGUCUAAGUAUAAACACCUUUAUACUGUGAAACUGCGUACAGCUCAUUAUAUCAGUAAUUAUUUAUUUGAUGGUACACUACUACAUGGAUACCUGUAGUAAUUCUAGAGCUAAUACAUGCACAAAGUCCUGACUCGUGAGGGAAAGGAUGUAUUUAUUAGAUAAAAAAUCAAUGCCGGUUCUGCCGGGUUUAUUGAUGAGUCAUAAUAACUGUUCGAAUCGCACGGCCUCGCGCUGGCGAUAGUUCAUUCAAAUUUCUGCCCUAUCAGCUUUCGACGGUAGUGUAGUGGACUACCGUGGCAUUAACGGGUGACGGAGAAUUAGGGUUCGAUUCCGGAGAGGGAGCCUGAGAAACGGCUACCACAUCCAAGGAAGGCAGCAGGCGCGCAAAUUACCCAAUCCUGAUACAGGGAGGUAGUGACAAUAAAUAACAAUACCGGGCCUUUCUAGGUCUGGUAAUUGGAAUGAGUACAAUUUAAAUCCCUUAACGAAUUCCACUGGAGGGCAAGUCUGGUGCCAGCAGCCAAU
rnacentral:rRNA from 1 species